ACGUCACGGUUGACCAACGUACAAUCAGCUGAUUUUCAGUUGUUUGUUUUUCUUUGCAAUAAGAAGCAUUUUUGUAUUGCAGGCACACAAAAACAUGAAUAUCAUCAAAAGUUAACAUCAGUAUAAACAAAUGCUUCUGGGAAAUUUUGUGCAUGAUGGACAGCUCGUUGGAGGAGUGCGAAGGAGAAAACAUUAUUGUCAAUAGUGACAAAAGAAAAUCCCAAAAAGGGUAAUAAAAAAACGAUUGAAAGACGCAUGUCAUUCGUGAUCGUACUAUCGUAAAGGAGGCUCGUACAACAAGAAGCAUUGGAAUUAGCAGCUGCAGCAAUAUCAUCAGAAGCAGCAAAUUUAAAUUGUUAAAUAAUAUUAUUCUUUUAUUUCAGAUUUAUUAUGAUUUUUAUUUAAUUAUUCUUUCUUUUCAGAUUUUAUCACUAUUUUUAUUUAAUUAAUAUUGGCUUUCAUAGUAAAUUCUAUUUGUAUUUAAUAUAUUUUAUUUUCAGGUAUUUUUCUUUUAUAAUAUUUUUCCACUCUUUUA